UUGAUUUAGGAUUUAGGAUUUGAUUUAGGAUUAGGAUUUGGUUAGUGUUUGAUUUAGGGUUUAGGAUUUGAUUAGGAUUUAAUUUAGGAUUUAAGAUUUGAUUUAGGAUUUAGAAUUUGGUUAGGAUUUGAUUUAGGAUUAGAGUUUGGUUAGGAGUUGAUUUAGAGUUUAGGAUUCGAUUGGAAUUUGAUUUAGGGUUUAAGGUUUUAUUAGGAUUUGUUUAGGAUUUAAGAUUUAGUUAAUUUUUGGCCUAAAGUUUGAAUG
rnacentral:lncRNA from 1 species